rnacentral:tRNA from 1 species
GCCUGGCUGGCUCAGUCGGUGGAGCGUGUGGCUCUUGAUCUCAGGGUUGUAAGUUCGAGCCCCAUGUUGGGCG